CAUGAUGAUGACGUAAUUUCCUCUCACCCAACGGCUGCUGCUGACCGCCACAAUGAUGCCGGGGAAGAAAUGAUCGGAAAUAAAACAGCCAUUCCAGACUGUGUAUUUAAAAAUGAACUCGGAGUUCUGCUCGUGCUCAUCAUUCGAACCAUAACGGUCAUCUACCACUGUUCGCUGAGGAAAAGGGAUAUGCAUUUCAACAGAGCCACAUCACCGAAUG